AAUGAACGCUGGCGGCGUGCUUAACACAUGCAAGUCGUGCGCGAAGGAGGCUUCGGCCUCUGGAGAGCGGCGAACGGGUGAGUAACACGUGGGUAAUCUACCUAGGAGCGGGGGAUAACCUGGGGAAACUCGGGCUAACACCGCAUACGUUGUUGGGGUUUUGGCCUCAUCAAGAAAGCUGGCCUCUGCUUGCAAGCUAGCGCUCCUAGAGGAGCCCGCGGCUGAUUAGCUAGUUGGUGGGGUAAAGGCUCACCAAGGCGACGAUCAGUA
rnacentral:rRNA from 1 species